rnacentral:rRNA from 1 species
GACGAACGCUGGCGGCGUGCCUAACACAUGCAAGUCGAGCGGAGAUAUUUAGCAAUAGAUAUCUUAGCGGCGGACGGGUGAGUAACGCGUGGGUAACCUGCCUUAUACAGGGGGAUAACACAGGGAAACUUGUGCUAAUACCGCAUAACAUAUUUUUAUCGCAUGGUAGAGAUAUCAAAGGAGCAAUCCGGUAUAAGAUGGACCCGGUCUGAUUAGCUAGUUGGUGAGGUAAUGGCUCACCAAGGCGACGAUCAGUAGCCGAACUGAGAGGUUGAUCGGCCACGAUUGGGACUGAGACACGGCCCAGACUCCUACGGGAGGCAGCAGUGGGGAAUAUUGCGCAAUGGGGGAAACCCUGACGCAGCAACGCCGCGUGAAGGAUGAAGGUUUUCGGAUCGUAAACUUCUUUGAUUGGGGAAAAUAAUGACGGUACCCAAAAACAAGCCACGGCUAACUACGUGCCAGCAGCCGGGUAAACUACUCGUA